rnacentral:RNase_P_RNA from 1 species
GAGAGGGAGAGUGCAGCCGACGGUAGCGCACGACGCUGCUGAGGAAAGUCCCCCCACCAACCAGGCACGCAGCCCCAUGCAAAUGGGGGUGGCGAGAGCCAUGGCAAUGAUACAGAAACGACACGGCCCGGCGGGAGCAGUGAUGCGACCGAUCGCUGAGCGGAUCGCCGGGAGUCGAUGAAACGAUGAAUCCCUGCGGGUGCAAGCCAGAACAGAGCAUAUGAUCGCCCGGUAUCGGCUCAGGUAUGGCGCGAAGCUGAAUGCUGCACCGAACAGAAGGGGGCUUACUCCUCCCACUC